GAGGAUGGGGGAUGGUUGCCAGGAGAACCAACCCUGUGAUUAGAGGGCAGAACUUUCAGUCCCAUCCCCUGAUUUCCAGGGAGGGGAAAGAGGCUAAAGGUUGAAUCAAUCACCAGCGGCCAAUGAUUUAAUCAAUCGUGGCCAUGUAAUGAAGCCUCCAUAAAUACCCAAAAGGAAAGUGUUCAGAGAGCUUUCAGGUUGGGGAACACAUUGGGGUUCUGGGAGAGUGGUGUGCCUGGAGAGGGCAUGGAGGCCUGCACCCUUCCCACAUACCUUGCCCUAUGCAUCUUUUCCAUCUGGCUGUUCCUGAGUUAUAUAUCCUUUUAUAAUGAACUGGUGAUCUAAGUUUCUCUCAUGUCUGCAGUUUUUAAAAGUAACCAGCCCAAAAUAAUCCUCAUGCCAAAGAGACAUAUCUUGGAGUGGCCAAUUCCAGUCCCCCACAUAAGGGCAGCCUGCAUCCAAUGACUGAUCAGUAUAGAACUACAAGGGCCCAGGCACCUAGCCUCAAUUCUGAACAGCUGUGAAGGGCGAUCUGCGCUCCAAAGCCUGUUGUGGAAUCAGAGGAGUAAUCUGUUGCAAAUCCAUCACAGUUCACCUUCUUCCUCUGUUCAAUCCUACCCCGAGCUUCCUCUUGCACAGGUGUUUCCUACUCUUUCCCCAGUCAACCUCCGGAAUGCGAAUUUCCCUCUUCGAGUCUGUUUCUCAGGAACCCAAUAUAAAACACUGGUGAUGUUGAAUAACAUUUUAAAAUAAAAACAUGUCUUUUAGAUGUUUUACAAGUAUGUAUUUUGCAGUUUGCAUCUAGUGAAAAAUACAACAAAGAUGUCAGUCACCCUGUCUCACAGAAAUAAAAGUCUGAGUAGCUAAAUAAAUACAUAAAACCACUUACUGUAACUUUGCUCAUAGAAUCGCAAAGCUGGGAAUGACCCUCUACUCUCCAAAUGAGUGAAAUAACUAAACAAUUUAGCAUGCACUAACAUAACCAGAGGACCAAGAAUAGAAUUUGCCACCCCAAAAUUUUCCUCUUUGCCAUAGGGAUUAUUUUGAGCUGAUGAUUAUUAAGAAGCAGCAGACACCGGAAAAGCUCUGAAAACCUAGUGGAAGUUACCCUUUGUAAAAGACAUUUACAUCUGUAAGGGAAAUCUCCAUUUGUAAGGGUGUCUCUCUCUCUGUGCCAGGAAGAGGAGGAUGACUCUAAAUCUCUAGAAACUCUUAUCAAUGGAGAAGGCCCCUAACUUAAAUCUGCAUAACAACCUUACAGGUUCCUUACUGUGCUUUUCCUGGUCACCUCCUGUAGCUGACCCCAUCUUAAAAGAACAUUAAAUCUGUUUUUCAGGGGCACGGAACCAAAAGCUGAGCACAUGCAGAAGAGAAAAUUUUGGCCUGCCAAUUGAAUGUCAUUCUGCCAGUGAUUCUGCAUAUCAGCGGGCCCUCCCUAAUCCCUUAAACUUGACCCCAAACCUUGGAUGAGGGAUACAGUUGUCAGUCUUGCUUCCUGUCUCUUUGCCAGUUGACCUCACAAUAAAGCCUUUUCUUUUCUCAAAAGCCAGUGCCAUAGUUUUGGCUUUUAUGUGCAUUGGGGAGUGAGCCCUUGCUUGACACUAACACCAUAAACUAUUUAUGCAAAAUUUUAAAAAAUAAUGAAUUGGAGCUAUGUUGAUUGACUUGAUGGCAUUUUAUGAGCUCUUGCUAUGAAAACAAAGAUGUGAAGAAACACGUAAUAUAUAAUCUCACAUUUAAAGCAUAGAAUGAUAAAAGCAAACCAUAU
ensembl:lncRNA